AAGAAACUAAUAAAAAAAAAUUGAAAGAAAAAUGAAACACAGUAAGGAAGAAAAAAAAAACUCUCUCGUUGUCCUCAACCAAACUCGCCCUCACUCGCUACGAUUCUCCUUCCUCAUCGCUCCCUCAAACCUCAAGAUUUUUCUCUCUCUCUCUCUCAAACGCUAUCCCUCAACCUUUACUCUCUCUCUACUUGAGACAUUC
rnacentral:lncRNA from 1 species